rnacentral:tRNA from 1 species
AUACAGGUGGCUGAUAAUAGGCGUUAGAUUGUAAAUCUUAUAAAGGUUGCACCCCUGAAGA